UAUGUGUUUUAUGUGUAUGAUGUGAUGAUUCUAUGCAUGUGCUAGUUGAGGAACAUUCGGGGACGAAUGUUCUUAAGGGGGGGAGAAUGUAAUACCCGGCUAGACUCCGGUAUCGGAAUUCCUACCGUCCGGUGGAAUCUCGGAUGUCGGAGACCUCUAGAAGGGUGGAAACAUGUUUUUAUAAAAUGUUUUAAUGCAUUUUAUGGUUUUAAGUAUGAAAUAAAAUGAG
rnacentral:lncRNA from 1 species